UUUGUUUGAAUUAGCUCAAGAGCUUAGAGGGCCACAAUUGGAUAAGGGGAAGGAAAAAGUGAUCGAAUAGCCGUCAAAGCCGUUCGACAACAUCCGAGAUUUUGCUCGUAGCAAUCGGAUUCGGGAUCAUUAAAGUCGAAGUCAUCUACACUAUCAAAGCCUCCAUUUUGGUAUAAUUUUGGUUGAACUUUGAAAUGGUAUGUAUAGGACUACCCUAAUGUUGAAGGUCAUGUACCUUUCGGUUUUGUGUAAGCUUGGAUAGCCAUGCGAAAAUGGCUUAUAUACGUUUUUGGUAUGAUUCUAUAAUAGUUUGUAUGAUAAUCAUUAUGGGGUAUGAAA